rnacentral:rRNA from 1 species
UGGGGAAUAUUGCACAAUGGGGGAAACCCUGAUGCAGCGACGCCGCGUGAGCGAAGAAGGUUUUCGAAUCGUAAAGCUCUGUCCUAUGAGAAGAUAAUGACGGUAUCAUAGGAGGAAGCCCCGGCUAAGUACGUGCCAGCAGCCGCGGUAAUACGUAUGGGGCGAGCGUUGUCCGGAAUUAUUGGGCGUAAAGGGUACGUAGGCGGUCUAUUAAGUCAGGUGUGAAAGCGUGAGGCUUAACCUCAUUAAGCACUUGAAACUGAUAGACUUGAGUGAAGGAGAGGAAAGUGGAAUUCCUAGUGUAGCGGUGAAAUGCGUAGAUAUUAGGAGGAAUACCGGUGGCGAAGGCGACUUUCUGGACUUUUACUGACGCUCAGGUACGAAAGCGUGGGGAGCAAACAGG